rnacentral:lncRNA from 1 species
GUUGCUGAGAAAAUGUCUACAAUAGCCACUGCCAUAUCUCCAUGAUUCACGCCAACUAAUAAUCCCAUAAUUCCCAUUAUCCAAUUUUUGAAUUCUGUUUCGUAAAUGUAGGAAGUAGUUGGUAGAUUUUUCUGUAUUUAAGCAUUUCAAGUAUUCGCAAUAAAGCAGAGAAUUUGCAAUUUAAAACUGUGGCAUUUCUCGCUCAUAAGAGAAAACUUUAUCCAUUUUAUGCAUUUUUUAUUAGGACUUAACAAUUGGUAUCAAAACGAGUUAUUAAUGGUGUCGAAUAAGGAGCGAAUUGAGAACCUCAAGAUCGGCUUGCGUAGUCUGCAAGAUACAGUGAGCCGUCUGGAGGUAGGUAUGGUCGAUAAGCUUCUACUAAUUGAGGAGAACCUUCAGUGCCUCACAGACACCAUCAUGUCCAGCCAAUAAGGCUCCGCCAAUAAUUCAACGGGACGACUCGACCAGACACAGUAGAACAGGGAGUACGGCAUCGAAAGAACAAAACCUGGCCGACAACUCUUAUACUCGAAGUUAG